AUUGAACGCUGGCGGCAGGCUUAACACAUGCAAGUCGAACGAGUGGCGGACGGGUGAGUCAUGCUUGGGAAUCUCGCUUAUGGAGGGGGAUAACUUCGGGACACUGUAGCUAAUACCGCGUACCAUAAGUUGAGCCCAAGUGGGAUUAGGUAGUUGGUGAGGUAAAGGCACACCAAGCCGACGAUCUCUAGCUAGUCUGAGAGGAAGACCAGCCACAUGGGGACUGAGACACGGCCCAGCCUCCUACGGGAGGCAGCAGUGGGGAAUAUUGCGCAAUGGGGGCAACCUGACGCAGCCAUGCCGCGUGAAUGAAGAAGGCUUUCGGGUUGUAAAGUUCUUUCGGUAGCGAGGCGUUAACUACAGAAGAAGCACCGGCUAACUCCGUGCCAGCAGCCGCGGUAAUUC
rnacentral:rRNA from 1 species